rnacentral:lncRNA from 1 species
AGACAGUGCUAGUGUGCUGAUAUGUGGAAGGAGUGACUGAUUUAGAGUAGGAAAUCAGCAGAAAUCAUUAUUAGAUUAAUGUGAGAAAGUGGGUCAAGGCCUCAGGGACAUAGAAAGUGCAGCUUCUCAGCAAGGAAGACAUGGCAAAGCUGGGCCACUGCCUAAGUUCUCAGGACCUUGUACGGCAAUGACCUUCAGUACACACUGCACAAAUCCGUUGAAUGAACAAGCUGAGAUGAAGGAUGCGUUUUGCCAGGAGAGACUAUCGGUUUAGUCUGAUCCACAGUGAACUUGGAGGCCCAGUGUCUGCUUUCCAUCUUCAGACUCAGAUGCAGAACUCUCGCCUGUCAUGCCUGCCAUCAUGUUCUCCUCCGUGAUGAUAAUGGACUAAGCCUCCGAAACGAGCUACUGUGGUCACAGUGUCUCUUCACGGCAAUUCAACAGUGACUAAGACACCUGUAUUGGCAUUUUUGUCUCAACCUACACUCUGGGAGGAAAGCCCUUGGCUGAGAGUAUGUGAGUUGUAGAAAGUUCCAUGAGUAUGAGAAAGAAGGGCACGGAGCAGGGAGGUUCCUAGGGAAGAAGACGGAAUGCUCCUUGACUUCUCCUGAGCUUACAGCAGCACUCUCUCCUGGUGUACUAUUUCUUCUCAAUUCUAAGAGAAAGAAAACUUCAAAUCCACAUGGGCAAAGAGCACAGAGGAACAAUGGCUGACAAAAGAUUCCAAGAAGCUUUGGAAUGGUAGAAAGUUGAGUACAGUAAAAACGACAGAGGUGGCAGCCGGCUAGGGCUGACCCAGCCUGAAGCUGAGGCGGCAGAGGACCACACACCAUGAAAUGUAAACACAAGAGCAAAUCCUAGAUGCCAGACUGGAAAAGAAGCAGGAGAGCUUCUUUCCAAACAGAGAUGCUGGAAUAUAAAACGAAGCCAUGUUCAGAUCCCAGAUUAUUUAUCUGCCUUGCUGCCACCAGAAUCAAUGUGUCUGAUUGUUUUCUUGGGAGAAUGAAGAAGGUAUUGCUAAUAAAACACAAGGUAAAUGCCACAUAACUUGCUACUCAUCAGUAACACCCAUGCACUGCAGAGAAAACUGUUCAAACUAGACUUCUCUGGGACUCUACAAUCAACCACUGCUGACUCCCUGUCUUCUCUCCGUAGUUAUUAAUAACCUAUGAUCUAUUGGUCUACUCUCCUGCCCAUCCUUCCCUUCCCCUAAGACCCACCUAUUUGAGCAGACUUGCCAAUAAAGAUCGUUUUCUCUCAGU